AUGAUGUAGUGUGGACAUUUAUGCAUUAGGUCUUUGAGUCUCUCCCAAGUCUCAUGAAAUAUUUCUCCACCCAUCUGCGAAAAAUUGGUAAUGGCUUUUCUAAUCUG